GCUUUCACUUUCAGUGUCUGUAGCGCAGCCAUAGAUAGCUAUGCACUUUGAUUGUGUUUCAUUAAACCACAAGUUUCCCAGCUACUGGCACUGUUUUGAGAAGAGGGUGAGACUUCGGGUGGAUCCUAGCUGGAAGAGGUGGAUGAUGGAAAUGCGACUUUGAAGGUGCACUGAACGAGCUCCGUGGGCAGCACGGCUUUCUGUCGACUGUCCUGCAUCUUCUCCAGCAGCAAAAGCAGCUGGAAGGGGACACUUCUCUUCCUCUCUUCUGCACUCCGAGGCACUGUUAUCCUGCCGAGUAAGAACAGCCAGGCAACUCAGACCCAUCACGCUCCAGGCCAGGAGCACGCUGAAAGCAGUUAAAGAAUCCCUCCCGAAGACUCUCUGUGUCCUUGUCAUUCUCUGGGUUAAGUUGGAGUGAUGGGAAUGGCUAGAUUUAUCAGUGUACUUGGUGACUCAGAGACUGGCGUGUACAGACACCUCACUAAGAGGGAGAUCAACACAGUCCCCAACUAGGCUCAACCAUCACAUUAAGGAAGGACAGCUGCACCUUAUGCUGGACCAACACUAGAGUGAGCAGGAAUGUAUGUGUGCACACACACACAUGGAUAUGUGCUUAGGAAUGUGUGUGUACACACACAUGGAUGUGUGCCAUAGCACAUACACAGAAACCAGAAGACAGCUCAACUGAGUGGUUUCCGUCUGGGGGUUGAACAAGGGCCCCAAGCUUGUGUAGAACACACCUUUACCUGCUGAGCCAUCUUGCUGGACCUAAACAUGAUUUUUAAAGA